rnacentral:sRNA from 12 species
ACAACUAAAACGCUCAAUUCCCGAGAAGGGGAGCGGGGGACCCAAUCCGUUGGGGCGAAUGGUCCGCUUGGACCUAGGGCAAGCUCUUCAUGCCCGAGCCCGACAGCUAACCCCGUAAGCGUGGCGAGAAGAGCU